UUUGUUUGCAUUGUUAUAUUUUGUUCCAAUUAACUACUUUUCGAAAACGAAGGGGAUAGGAUUUAGCAAAGCUUUGGCAGUAUUGUAGGCCCAUUCAUGAUCUGCUUCAGAAUUGGAAGUCCUUUAAACAAUUUCUCCAAUUUGCCUUUGCUAUCUAAUCUUUGGCUUUACUUUCUGACACUAAUAUGCGAAUCACUUGGUAUAAACCAGAGAAUCUGGGAUUAUAAGCUCAAACAUUUGAAUCACAUUUUCUAGCAAAUUCAAUGGGGUCCUGAAGAGGAUCUGGGAAUUUUUAAAUUAUGUCUUUAAGUUCUACUUUUGAACCAUGGUUGAUAUAUCAAGUCAGGUUCUCCUCUAAUGAACACAAGGUAUUUCCAAAAUGGAGCCAGAACAGCGGAAGAAGGAGGAAGAGGAGGAAAGGGAGGUAAAUCUGGACAAGAAGUUCUGUCAAAAGAGAAGGAGGAGGCCAGAUAUUUGCAUGAGGAGGUGCUGUGAAUACUAAACAGGAAUCCAGCUGGUGUUUCUAGUGGUGGAUCUCUACUUAAGGAGGAAGACUCAGUUAUAGAAGAGAAGAAUGAAGACUUGAUUGAGGACCCAAAGGAUGACCAAGAAGAGGUACAGGAGAAAACCCAGAAUUCUGCAGGGUCUUGGCGAUGCAAGUGUCAGAGCCAUUUGAACCAGAGCUACUCCAUCUUGAGUGAGGGCUAAGAAAACUGAGGCUGGGACUUGCUGGGCUGCAUUCCCAGGAGGGUAAGUAUUCCUAGCCUCUAGGUUAACGGAACAGAUUAAUAACGUUUACUAACAGACCCAGACUCAGGAAUGUCCUGAUAUCCUGAUGUCUUAAAAACAAAAGCACUCCUAAUUUUGCUUUAAAGAUAAAUAUCGAUCCUUGCAAAAUAUAGUAAUUAAGAAAACUAAUUGUUUAAAUCACAAACCUUUGUAGUAGAGCAAAUCUCCCCAUUUUUUUGUUAUCCUAUAUAUAAAUAAGCAUUGUACCUAGGGGUAGGCGCGUUCCUCCUCUUACUUUCAGGAACGCCCUACUCUGUCUAUAGAGUAGCUAUUCCUUCACCACUUUACUUCCUUAAUAAAUUUGCUUUUGCUUUGCA